rnacentral:rRNA from 1 species
UACGUAGGGGGCAAGCGUUAUCCGGAUUUACUGGGUGUAAAGGGAGCGUAGACGGCUGUGCAAGCCAGAUGUGAAAGCCCGGGGCUCAACCCCGGGACUGCAUUUGGAACUGUGUGGCUGGAGUGUCGGAGAGGCAGGCGGAAUUCCUAGGGUAGCGGUGAAAUGCGUAGAUAUUAGGAGGAACACCAGUGGCGAAGGCGGCCUGCUGGACGAUGACUGACGUUGAGGCUCGAAAGCGUGGGGAGCAAACAGG